UACAGAGGGUGCAAGCGUUAAUCGGAAUUACUGGGCGUAAAGCGCACGUAGGUGGCUUGAUAAGUUGGGUGUGAAAUCCCCGGGCUUAACCUGGGAAUUGCAUUCAAGACUGUCUUGCUAGAGUGUGGAAGAGGGAAGCGGAAUUCCAGGUGUAGCGGUGAAAUGCGUAGAUAUCGUCUGGAACGCCAAAGGUGAAAACAGCUCGCUGGGGUUGUGCUGACGCUGAGACACGAAAGCCAGGGGAGCGAACGGG
rnacentral:rRNA from 1 species